UACAGAGGUCCCAAGCGUUGUUCGGAUUCACUGGGCGUAAAGGGUGCGUAGGUGGUGAGGUAAGUCGGAUGUGAAAGCUCGGAGCUCAACUCCGAAAUGGCAUUGGAAACUACCUUGCUCGAGGGUUGGAGGGGGGACUGGAAUACUUGGUGUAGCAGUGAAAUGCGUAGAUAUCAAGUGGAACACCAGUGGCGAAGGCGAGUCCCUGGACAACUCCUGACACUGAGGCACGAAAGCGUGGGGAGCAAACGGG
rnacentral:rRNA from 1 species